UUUUUUUUUUCUUUAUGUAUGUCUAUCUACUAUUUUUUUUAAAGAGAGAAAUAGAUGGAUCACAUGCUGUUGCAUUGGAGGUCCUUAGAUUUCUAUCUGGAGAGGCGGAUUGGAAAUGAUUCCUUGUUACCCUAGUUGAUGAUGAGUAGUUGAGUUUGCACAUAUAUGUGAAAAGACAAGCAGGAGAAAGGGCCUGGUGUCUAGGAGCCGAUCGAGGAAAAGAUCAGAAACGCCCUCCCAUCAGUCACUGCGGGGGGACAUGACAAGUCGCCCAUGAGGGAAAGCACAAAAGAGAAGCAUCCGAGAGAUUGACGAGUCGCCGAUCGGGGAAAGAAACCACAGUGGUAAAAACUCUUUUCUGCGCCAAAAUAAACCCAGUAAGAUAGAAAUGGCACCCCCUCUCUCCCUCUAGCUCUUUUGUAGUACUCGAUCUUGACGCAUGCACGGGACACCAUGAAACAGUGGUAGGGCUUUAGACGCAGAUAAAGACCAGACGACAAAUACAUGAAGUGACCAUGACACAGUACACUACCACAUCUCGGUCGAUCGGCAUGACUCUGACCGUACGUACUACGACACUUCUUCCAUGAGACAGACACACAGACAUACAGUUGUAGUUAAUUAAGCUUGCACUAGGGCAGUAACACCUCGCCAUGCAAGCACUCUGGACGUACUAAUGAUGAUGCACUUGGGAAGCAAUGCGAAACUAAACCUAGAAGCUACGUACCAUAGUGGACUAGUACUAACUAAAGACAUCGUGCAGGCAACAAAGCUAACAACGAAGAAGGAGGAGUUGUCUAGAGCAAGACCAUGUCGCUGCCAUCGCCGGCGUUGCCGUUCUCAUCGUACAGAUGCAGGUCGCCGUCGUCGUGCUCGUCGUCCUCGUCCUCAUCCUCGUCGACGGUCACGGACUCAAUGAUGUGCGGCGCGUGGCCGCCUCCGAAGGAGCGGACGUGGUCCUUGAGGGAGCGCUUGUGCUUGAAGUCGGAGCCGCAGACGCAGAACCACAGCUUGCCGCAGUUCUUCUCGUGGGUGCGCCAGUCGCCGCGCACGGCGAACCGCUUGCCGCACCGGCGGCACGCGUAGGGCCGCGCGCCGUGCUUACGGCGGUAGUGCGUCUGCAGCGUGCGGAAGUCCUUGAGCGGCCGCGCC
rnacentral:lncRNA from 1 species